GAUGAACGCUGGCGGCGUGCCUAAUACAUGCAAGUCGAGCGAACAGACGAGGAGUUUGCUCCUCUGACGUUAGCGGCAGACGGGUGAGUAACACGUGGAUAACCUACCUAUAAGACGGGUAUAACUUCGGGAAACGGGAGCUAAUACCGUAUAACAUGUUGAUCCGCAUGGGUCAACAGUGAAAGACGGUCUUGCUGUCAGUUAUAGAUGGAUCCGCGCCGCAUUAGCUAGUUGGGAAGGUAAUGGCUUACCAUGGCAACGAUGCGUAGCCGACCUGAGAGGGUGAUAGGCUACACGGGAACUGAGACACGGUGAUGCGGCCUAGGGGAGGAAGCAGUAGGGAAGCUGCCGCAAUGGGAGAAUGCCUGACAGAGCAACGCAGCGUGAGUGAAGAAGGUCUUGGGAUCGUAAAGCUCUGUUACUAGGGAAGAACAAAUGUGUAAGUAACUAUGCACGUGCUGACGGUACCUAAUCAGAAAGCGACGGCUAACUACGUG
rnacentral:rRNA from 1 species